rnacentral:misc_RNA from 1 species
GAUGAAGAACGCAGCGAAAUGCGAUACGUAAUGCGAAUUGCAGAAUUCAGUGAAUCAUCAAAUCUUUGAACGCAAAUGGCGCUCUUGGGACAUCCCUGGGAGCACGCCUCUUUGAGUAUCGGUUCUACCACAUCUCGACAGCGUGCUGAAAAGCAAAGUGCGUCGGAUAAUGAGUUGUCUCAGUAGUUGUCAAACGACUGAGUCACUUUAAAUCUGGAGAAGGACCCUGGACUUUCCCGCUAAUUGGGAGAGGACGCAAGAUAAUUUUUCACUCGCAAGAGUGUUAAAUAACAAACCUUUCGUCACUCCUGAGGGAAAUUGUCCGGUUCUGAUCAAACCAAAAUUAUUUUCAGAAUAAGAUCUCAAAUGAAGCGAGAAUACCCGCCGAAUUUAAGCAUAUCAAUAAGCGGAGGA